CAGCAGCCGCGGGAAUACGGAGGGAGCUAGCGUUGUUCGGAAUUACUGGGCGUAAAGCGCACGUAGGCGGUUAUUCAAGUCAGAGGUGAAAGCCCGGGGCUCAACCCCGGAACUGCCUUUGAAACUAGAUGACUGGAACCUUGGAGAGGUCAGUGGAAUUCCGAGUGUAGAGGUGAAAUUCGUAGAUAUUCGGAAGAACACCAGUGGCGAAGGCGACUGACUGGACAAGUAUUGACGCUGAGGUGCGAAAGCGUGGGGAGCAAACAGGAUUAGAUACCCCUGUAGUCCCUGUCUCUUAUAC
rnacentral:rRNA from 1 species